ensembl:snRNA U4 U4 spliceosomal RNA
AGCUUUGCGCAGUGCCAGUAUUGUAGCCAAUGAAGUUUACCUGAGGUGCGAUUUUUGCUAAAAGAGGUCAAGCUUAAUUUCCCUCCCCUUGAGUGUGGGCUGGAUUUAGUGACUUGCUGCUAACCA